rnacentral:misc_RNA from 1 species
AAGACGUAACAAGGUUUCCGUAGGUGAACCUGCGGAAGGAUCAUUAGUGAAUUUAGGGUGACUAUUCGUAGUGCCCGACCCCCACUUCUAACACUGUGCACUUAUUGGCGAGAGUUUCGAAUAGUAAGGACGGCGUUCUGCGCCUCACGAACUUUGAAGUCUCUUGCGGCUCUACUUUAUAACUCCAAGUUAAUGAAUGUAACCAAAUACAAAACAAAAAAAAAG